rnacentral:tRNA from 1 species
CGGGCUGUAGCGCAGCUUGGCAGCGCGCCUCGUUCGGGACGAGGAGGCCGCAGGUUCAAAUCCUGCCAGCCCGA